GUUGAACGCUGGCGGCAGGCCUAACACAUGCAAGUCGAGCGAGCGGCGGACGGGUGAGUAAUGUAGGGGGACUGCCCGAUAGAGGGGGAUAACUACUGGAAACGGUGGCUAAUACCGCAUACUAUCGGAUAACCCAUAUGGGAUUAGCUAGUAGGUGGGGUAAAGGCUAACCUAGGCGACGAUCUCUAGCUGGUCUGAGAGGAUAAUCAGCCAAACGGGGACUGAGAAAAGGCCAAGAAGCAUACGGAGGCAGCAGUGGGGAAUCUUGGACAAGGGGCGCAAGCCGGAUGGAGCAAUGCCGCGUGUAUGAAGAAGGCCUGAGGGUUGUAAAGUACUUUCAGCGGGGAGGCGUUACCCGCAGAAGAAGCACCGGCUAACUCCGUGCCAGCAGCCGCGGUAAUAC
rnacentral:rRNA from 1 species